rnacentral:rRNA from 1 species
AGUGAACGCUGGCGGUAGGCCUAACACAUGCAAGUCGAACGGCAGCACAGUAAGAGCUUGCUCUUACGGGUGGCGAGUGGCGGACGGGUGAGGAAUACAUCGGAAUCUACUUUUUCGUGGGGGAUAACGUAGGGAAACUUACGCUAAUACCGCAUACGACCUACGGGUGAAAGCAGGGGAUCUUCGGACCUUUCGCGAUUGAAUGAGCCGCUGUCGGAUUAGCUAGUUGGCGGGGUAAAGGCCCACCAAGGCGACGAUCCGUAGCUGGUCUGAGAGGAUGAUCAGCCACACUGGAACUGAGACACGGUCCAGACUCCUACGGGAGGCAGCAGUGGGGAAUAUUGGACAAUGGGCGCAAGCCUGAUCCAGCCAUACCGCGUGGGUGAAGAAGGCCUUCGGGUUGUAAAGCCCUUUUGUUGGGAAAGAAAAGCAGCAGGUUAAUACCCCGCUGUUCUGACGGUACCCAAAGAAUAAGCACCGGCUAACUUCGUG